GGGGUUGUAGCUCAGUGGUAGAGCGCUUGCUUCGCAAGUAAGAGGCCCCGGGUUCGAAACCCGGCAACUCCA